rnacentral:pre_miRNA from 1 species
AUCACCUGGAAAUUUUGUUAGAAUGCAGAUUCUGAUUCAGCAGGUCCAGAGCAGGGCCUGAGAUUCCGCAUUUCUAACAAGCUCCCAGGUGAUUCUGA